rnacentral:rRNA from 1 species
AUUGAACGCUGGCGGCAUGCUUUACACAUGCAAGUCGAACGGCAGCGGGGGCUUCGGCCUGCCGGCGAGUGGUGAACGGGUGAGUAAUGCAUCGGAACGUACCCAGUCAUGGGGGAUAACUACGCGAAAGCGUAGCUAAUACCGCAUACGCCCUGAGGGGGAAAGCGGGGGAUCGCAAGACCUCGCGUGAUUGGAGCGGCCGAUGUCGGAUUAGCUAGUUGGUGGGGUAAAGGCCUACCAAGGCGACGAUCCGUAGCGGGUCUGAGAGGAUGAUCCGCCACACUGGGACUGAGACACGGCCCAGACUCCUACGGGAGGCAGCAGUGGGGAAUUUUGGACAAUGGGGGGCAACCCUGAUCCAGCCAUGCCGCGUGAGUGAAGAAGGCC